GCUUCCUCCCAGUCAGUGCAAUAUCCAGCAGUCUCUUUUCCUCCCCAGCACCUCCUACCUGUGUCUCCAACGCAGCACUUUUCCAUGGUCCUCCAGCCCCCUCCCUCACCACAGGGAUUUGUGCAACAGCCUCCGCCUGCACAGAUGCCUGUAUAUUAUUACCCAUCUGGUCAGUACCCUACCUCAACCACACAACAGUACCGGCCCAUGGCCCCAGUUCAGUACAAUGCUCAGAGGAGUCAGCAGAUGCCACAGGCAGCACAGCAAGCAGUUGCAGUGACAGGUGGAUUUCUACAGAUUGAAUCUGUGGCCAUCGUACUUAUUUCAAGAUAAUUGGCCAAGGCUAGGUUACAUCCUGUAGCCGUGCAACAGUGACAGUAAUUUGAUCACAAUGAUGUUGACCCCAUGACUUUUGACUUCAUAAUUAUCUGCUGUAGUCAGCUAGCCAACAGCACUUCAUCAAUGAAAAUAUCCACCAGGAGGAAUAUUAUCAUGGGGACAGUUAUUAGAGCCAUCUCCAUUUUGACUUUGCCCCAAGCUUGGUCUGGGGAAAAAGCUUCUUAAUGUUGCCUCAGCAGUAGUUUGCUGCCUCCCAGCCUGGUUUUAAGUAUAUCCAUAAUUAACACGACGGGUAGAGGUGCAAAAA
rnacentral:sRNA from 1 species